rnacentral:rRNA from 1 species
UACGUAGGGAGCAAGCGUUGUCCGGAAUCAUUGGGCGUAAAGCGCGCGUAGGUGGCUUCGUAAGUCCGCUGUGAAAGUCAAAGGCUCAACCUUUGAAAGCCGGUGGAUACUGCGGGGCUAGAGUACGGAAGAGGCGAGUGGAAUUCCUGGUGUAGCGGUGGAAUGCGCAGAUAUCAGGAGGAACACCAAUAGCGAAGGCAGCUCGCUGGGACGUUACUGACACUGAGGCGCGAAAGCGUGGGGGAGCGAACAGG